rnacentral:rRNA from 1 species
CUACGUGCCAGCAGCCGCGGUAAUACGGAAGGUCCAGGCGUUAUCCGGAUUUAUUGGGUUUAAAGGGAGCGUAGGCGGAUUGUUAAGUCAGCGGUUAAAGGGUGCGGCUCAACCAUGCAUUGCCGUUGAAACUGGCGAUCUUGAGUGCAGACAGGGAUGCCGGAAUUCGUGGUGUAGCGGUGAAAUGCUUAGAUAUCACGAAGAACUCCGAUCGCGAAGGCAGGUGUCCGGGCUGCAACUGACGCUGAGGCUCGAAAGUGUGGGUAUCAAACAGGAUUAGAUACCCUGGUAGUCCACACAGUAAACGAUGUAUACUCGCGGUUUGCGAUAGACAGUAAGCCGCCAAGCGAAAGCAUUAAGUAUACCACCUGGGGAGUACGCCGGCAACGGUGAAACUCAAAGGAAUUGACGGGGGCCCGCACAAGCGGAGGAACAUGUGGUUUAAUUCGAUGAUACGCGAGGAACCUUACCCGGGCUUGAACUAACGGUGACGAAUCUAGAGAUAG